CUGAUCAAAAAUUGAAUUUGGGAAAAUUAGGGCAUCGAUCAAGUCACCCACCAUAGCCUUCUCCCUAACCAAACAAAUCCCUCCCACUCCUCACCAACGACCCCACCGUUGCAGUCUUCUUGUCGGCGACUAGUCAAUCCUACGGCUGCAGCCUUCGGAUGGAAUUUAGGUGUUGAUUUUGCUCAUUGAUUCGCAAAUGGUAGCUGGCAUGGAGACCGAGUUCUUGCAUUGGCCAAUCGGAGUUUGUAGAGUGGGGAUCGGGUCUGCCCUGUCCGUGAAAUGUCCGGUCAGGGAGAAGCACUAAUAUGUGCCCUAAUUUUCCCAAAUUCAACUUUUUGCUCAAUUUUUCCCUUCUUGCAUGUAUCAAUUGAUUGAGUGACAUUUUACUCUUUUCAAAAUGUCAGGUGAGUGGCAGAUGCCCUCUUUGACCGGAAAUCUGUCUGGAAUUUGGACUAGGGUACACCUUAUUUA